UUAAUUUUUUUCGGAUUUGCGUCAUUUGCUUGUUGGUAAUAAACAUUUUAAUGGUUACCUAUUGUAUUUAAUGUGGUUGGGUAUCACAAAACGGAAUUUAAUACGAAAAAGUGGGUCAUAUUGGAGCGGUUUGCGAUAGCUUCUCAUUUCUCCCGGAAACCGUUGCAUGACGUCACGGUAGGGAGACGACAGACGUAGCCCUUCGAGACCCAUUGAUAGUACAGAGUACGAGAGAGAUAAGAGACAGAUAAGUAAGAGAUAAAUACAUAGAUACAUAUAUAGAUAGCCUAGAUAGAUAGAUGGACAGACAUAUAGAUAGAUAGAGAUAGACAGAAUAGAUAGAUAUAUAGACCGAUAUAGAUAUAGACCGAGAGAUAGGGAGACAGGCAGACAGAUAGCAUAGCAUAGCGAGUUAGGUAGGUAGGUGGGUAGGUAGGUGUAGCAUAGCGAGUUAGGUAGGUGGGUAGGUAGGUGUAGCUUUAGAAUGGUGUACAACUGUGUUUGUGCUGGGUGUAAUAAUUCUAGCCGAACAGGACACAGGGUCCAUGCCUUUCCGAAGGACAAGGCAACCCUCAGACAGUGGGUACAGUUUGUCCGCGUUAGACGGGCAGAUUUUUCUAUUCCCUCGGUCACUAAGAACUCCAAGGUCUGCAGCGCUCAUUUCACGGAGGAAGAUUACGACCAAGGGGAUAUCAGGAUGGUAUCUCUCGGGUUAAAGAGGCUGGCACAGCUUAUUCCGAACGCCGUGCCUUCUGUGCACACGCAUCUCUCUGCCUGCCCUGCCCCGAGACCGAGAGGCACCAAGAUCAGUGCCGCCAGCCGCAAGCGAGAGCUGGCUAUGGUAAGCCUCAUGGUAAUGUUUACAAGCUGUGCGUUAGCUAGCCCUGUGUAUACUACAUACCGUAUUCCCUUUGACACCGCCUCCACUACCUUCAUGACUCAUGAUCAGUCUGACAUUAGAAAAGAACAUUUCGUGAUUCAUGAAUAUGAACCAAAACAAAAUUGUCCUGAAGUAAAUGUCCAAAAGCUUGUCAUAUCUAACUAGAAAGCGCCAUGGCUAGUGUUUGGAUCAGUGGCGCUCAUCAAGCGACUUUCACAACAGUGUGUGUGUUCUAUUUAGUUGAUGGAUUUAAUUGCAAUUUUCCUGAUGGAAAGUGACUAUUACGGUCCUCUUUCAUAUGUAUUUAGACGUGACUGUGUCGCUGACGCUAAUUUAUUUACGCAUGUUGACAGAUGCCUCACCGUGUGAGACCACGGACGGUGUCAAUGCUGCUACGGUAGAGGACCCCUUGCCCUACUCCACUUGUGACACUGGGACACAAUGUAUUUUGAAGCCCCUUGGAAGGUCUCACGCUGUGCAAGUGAACCUGAAGCCCAAGAUGGUCAGCAUGGGGACACAAACUUUCACCCCCCUCACUAGUCCUGACCCAACGGAUGGAGAAGAUGAUCUCUCUGUCAUCAGUGAUGCAUCAUGGGUACCAGGAGACCAGAUGUCUGAGGAGGAUGAGGAGGUGUUGUGUGAGGAGCCAUCUCAAACUUGCGACCCCCACCAAAAUGGCAUUGACAAAUUCAUUGUUUGCCAAGAGGAGCUCAUGGCCCUGUUUGCCAUCUGUCCGGCCUGUUGUGAGAAGUCAGAUAGUAGAAUCGUGCAGCAGGAAGGAACAUUUGUUAAAAUAGAGCAGGUCUGUGCAUGUGGCUACCAG